CUCGUAGGCGGUUUGUCGCGUCUGCUGUGAAAACUGGGGGCUCAACCCCCAGCCUGCAGUGGGUACGGGCAGACUAGAGUGCGGUAGGGGAGAUUGGAAUUCCUGGUGUAGCGGUGGAAUGCGCAGAUAUCAGGAGGAACACCAAUGGCGAAGGCAGAUCUCUGGGCCGUAACUGACGCUGAGGAGCGAAAGCAUGGGAGCGAACA
rnacentral:rRNA from 1 species